CAUGAACGAAUGGGCUUUAUUUCGCUUAUUUUGCUUCGACUCCCAUUUCGGAUCCUUCGAAAUUCAGAACCAUCGUGGAAGCGAAUGGACCUGCACAGUUUCGAACGAUUAAAUUUAUUUUGGUUGGGUGAGGAUGAGUUCAAAUCGCAAGUUCACAGGGUGUGUCCAGGACUAUUUGGAUUGGUUUAAGAACCCAGAUCCACCUGAACCUAUUGUCAUCCCAGAUUGUCAAAGUCAUGAUGAUGGAGCAUUAGCCAAGGAGUAUGAACAUUCUCACCAACUUCCUGUCCCUUCAUACUUAAAGCACAACCAGGGAACGGAUUAUGCCAAAAAGUAUCAAGAUGACCUUUUACAAGAAUAUGAGAGACGUGUGGAACAUGAAGGAAAGCUCUGUGAGGAAAGAAGAUUUAGAAUGACAGACAUAGAGGAAGACACAUUGACAGCAACCAUGUUAACUGCUGAUGAUGAGGAUACACAGAAGACUCAAGUGUACUUGCAGUAUGAUUUCUCCAAAAGAAAUUAUCAGUCGGCUCUUCCAGUUUUCAAUGCACGCAAAGAGGUUCUGGCAAAAAUUGAAGAACAUCAAGUUGUGAUAAUAGGUGGAGAAACAGGCAGUGGCAAAUCAACUCAAGUUCCUCAGUUUAUCUUAGAUGAUGCUGUUGAAAAACAUCAUCACUGUAACAUAAUAGUCACACAACCUCGAAAAAUUGCAGCAACAUCUCUGGCUCGUCGGGUUUGCAGAGAAAGAGGGUGGCAGCUGGGAAAGAUUGUUGGAUACCAGGUUGGUUUGGACAAUUGCACAGAUCCAGACACCAGGCUUUCCUAUGUUACCACAGAAGUUUUGGUACAAAAGUUGAUACAUAGGGGAAGUCUUGAUGCAUUUACUCAUAUUGUAUUAGAUGAGGUGCACGAAAGGGAUCAGCAUACCGACUUUGCAUUACUCAUUGUCAAAAAGUUGCUGUAUACUGUCUCCAGAAAUGUGAAAGUGAUUCUGAUGUCAGCAACCAUUGACACUUCCAAAUUUGCCAGUUAUUUUUCAACUCCUGUAAUGGGAAACCUUGUCCCAGCACCAGUUGUGUCUGUGGGGGACAAUACUUUGUUCAAAAUUCAAUUUUACUAUUUAGAAUCUCUUAGUGUUAUUUGCAGAAGCAAGCCCUCAGUGCUGCCAGAAUUACCAUCUAUACUACCUGCAGAUCCAGGUAUUUCUGAAAAUAUGUUCAAAUUAGCUUGUGAAAUAGUAAAGUGUUUUGACCAUGUUGAAAGGCAAGAAGAGGGAAUCCGAUCUACUGCUGAAUUUGUAAAGAGAAGGGGAGCUGUUUUGAUCUUCUUACCUGGCUUAGCAGAGAUUGAGAAGUUAAUCAACUUACUCAGUAAUGACUCUACUGCUAACCAGUGGAUGUUGUAUCCUCUCCAUUCUUCUAUCACACAAGAGGAGCAACAGAGGGUUUUUUCAGUGCCUCCUGUAGGAUUCAGGAAAGUUAUAGUUUCAACCAACAUUGCAGAAAGUUCCAUUACUGUACCUGAUAUAAAGUAUGUGAUUGACUUCUGCUUAACCAAACAACUAACUUGUGACCAAGUGACGAAUUACACAUCUCUCAAACUGGCUUGGGCUUCACAAGCAUCCUGUAAGCAGCGGGCUGGUAGAGCAGGGAGGGUGUCUACUGGAAGAGUCUAUCGUCUUGUACCAGCAGAUUUUUUUUUGACACUGCCUACAUAUGCCACACCAGAGCUAUGCCGAACUCCUCUCUCUCAAAUAGUCCUCAAGACCAAAAUUCUAAACAUGGGGGAGCCACAUGCUCUCUUGUCUCUUGCUCUCGACCCACCAAAUUUAUCAGAUAUACAUAGAACAAUUCUUACUCUUAAACAGAUGGGUGCACUUGCUGUGAAGUCUAAAGGUGUCAUAUCCGGUUUGGAUGGAGACUUAACAUACUUGGGAAGGGUUGCUGCACAACUUCCUGUUGAUCCACACCUUGCCAAGUUCAUAGUCAUGGGAUAUUUGUUUGGUGUUCUAAAGGAGAGCAUCAUUAUUGCUGCUGGACUCUCCUUGAAAAGCUUCCAUGCUCGCCCCUUCCAAGAUGAGCUGAAUGCCUUUCUCUCCAAGGUUUCCUGGGCAUAUGGAUCUUUCUCAGACUGCUUAGCCAUAUUGAACACUUACAAUCUUUGGCAAAACAUGCAAAUCAGAGGAGAGUUCCUGAGACCUGGAGGGAGGAAGGAGAGAGAAUGGGCAAAACACAGUUAUGUACAGCUUGAGGCCCUAAAGGAAGUGGAUAAGCUGGUAAAGGAACUAACUCUGCGUCUAGAGGGCCAAAAAAUCACUGUACGGAAUCGACAGAAUCCUCCAAGGAGUCGUCAGGCGUUCAUUCUCAAGAUGUGCAUGGCAAGUGCUUUUUUCCCGUUUUACUACAAGCGCAACAUCUCUGAGAAUUACGAGAAGGAAAUGUGUCGUGAACUCAAUGGGCAUGACCCCUUCAGCACAGUGAUUGUGAGUGGCCUCCCUGCACGGUCAAAUGUUCUUUAUGACAGUCAGCUGAAAGAACUGUUCAAAGAAUGCUCACAAAACCUUGAAAUUCAGUAUGAAGGAAGCAAAGCCUAUGUUCAAUUUCCUCGAAUGAGUCUUUCAUCAACCAAGAAGGAGCACUUUCAAGAUGUCCCAGGAGAGUGUCCCACCUCCAUGCACCUUGCCCUGAAAAUGCGGCAAGUUCCAAGAAUUCAAAAGAACCUUGUGCUGAAUCUGUAUAGCCAAGAAGAGAUUCAUAAGAAAAUGUCAGAAGUGUUCGGAAGCACUACAAGCAUGUCAGGAAUAAAUUUGUUCAAAGGAUCCACACAGAGUCUUCUUGGGAACGCAAGACUCAGAAUGGCAGACUCACAGAUGCAGAUGUUGAGACCGCCCACCAUGCCUAAGCCUUCAGAUCGGACUUGGAGAAUCCAUGUCACACAUGUAGUCACUGCUGGACAUUUCUGGAUAGUGUCUGAGGAAACCAGUGCUUUAAAGAAUCUCAACCACAUACAUUCAGCCAUUCAGACAGCUGUAGAGCAGAACCAAGCAGUCUCUAUCCCUGAAAGUGAAGUCAAACCAGGGAUGGUAUGCCUUGCCAAGUUCACGGACUCUGAUGGAUUGUCAUGCUAUUAUAGAGCACGUGUGGAUGAAGUGUAUACUGGGGAAGACAACGGGCUCAGAGCUCAGGUAUUUUUUGUUGAUUUUGGGAACACUGAUGUUGUAAAGGCUGUGGAACUGAGAAGAGUGCCAGGAAAUUUGAUGUUGACUGAGAUGCUAGCAGUUGAAUGUAAAUUGGCUCAGGUUAAACCGGCAUCUGAUAACAAAUGGCUAGAUGAAGCUACAGAAUGGUUUAGAAACCACAUAUUGAAUAAGGACUUUAUUGCCCAGAUCUACAGUGUUGUGCAUAAGAUCAUGAGAGUAAAGUUAAUAGAAGUGGAGAGUGGAGAUUUCCUGUCCAUCAACCGAAAACUUAUUGAUCUUCAGUAUGCUGUCAAAGCUGAGGAGUAUUAUCUUUCAAAGCAAAAUCAUGAAUUGAGAUCCCUCUGUAAUAAGGAAGCUGAAAACACAGCCCUAGAUGACAUGGGACAUCUUUCCCAGGCCCUUUCUGUUUCGUCCCUGGAACUAAAAUUUGGUCCAGCAGCUUAUGCAGGGAAGGCAAAGUUACAAGGUCCAGAAUCUCCACUGCUGCUACACUUUGUGGCAUUGUCUCGCAUGGGGUGCACAAAGGGAGUGAAGAUUGAACCUUCAUCAGUCAACUCAACUGCAUUAGACCUUGAGCCACAAAACCCCCAUGAUAGGAUGAUAAUUGCUGCCUUUGUGACUUUGAACCCCACCGAGACUGUAACAACUUUGCAUCACACAACAAUAAUGCCUUCUAUACCUGGAAUUCUAUCACUCUGCCUUCUGUUGUUUGGCCCAGUAGCAGAGCUAAGGCAGACAUUCAUGGAGUGAGGUAAAUAUGUGCUCCCAGAGUUCGGUUCGGUGGGAUGAAAGCAGUUAUGUAAACAGUAACACACAAAAUAUUUGUCAUCAAAACACCAUUUCAAAGAAAAGUAAACAGAGAAGGGACGCUGUACACAGGGGCCCUGAUUGGCCUUGGUCAUGAUCCUGAUGGAAAUGCAGUAUACCCUGCUGAUGAUAUUGAAGCUUCCUUUGAUAUUCA
rnacentral:misc_RNA from 1 species